rnacentral:rRNA from 1 species
AACGAACGCUGGCGGCAUGCCUAACGCAUGCAAGUCGAACGAAGCCUUCGGGCUUAGUGGCGCACGGGUGCGUAACGCGUGGGAAUCUGCCCUUUGGUUCGGAAUAACAGUUGGAAACGACUGCUAAUACCGGAUGAUGACGAAAGUCCAAAGAUUUAUCGCCAGAGGAUGAGCCCGCGUAGGAUUAGCUAGUUGGUGUGAUAAAGGCGCACCAAGGCGACGAUCCUUAGCUGGUCUGAGAGGAUGAUCAGCCACACUGGGACUGAGACACGGCCCAGACUCCUACGGGAGGCAGCAGUGGGGAAUAUUGGACAAUGGGCGAGAGCCUGAUCCAGCAAUGCCGCGUGAGUGAUGAAGGCCCUAGGGUUGUAAAGCUCUUUUACCCGGGAUGAUAAUGACAGUACCGGGAGAAUAAGCCCCGGCUAACUCCGUGCCAGCCGCCGCGGUAA